CUGUAUUGUGGCUAAAUUAGGGUUGGUACACGGAAUCGAUUACACAGAGCCACACGAUCACGCAUCUAAACAUAUAGUAGCAUGUUCUUAUCGAAAAUCAAUAUAUUGAGGCCAAUGAUGCAUAAAAAUUGUCCGUACCAUCUGAGGAUCUUUACUAAGUCUCCUUUGAUGUGAAUUCGCCUGUAUUUUCUGAGGUCUCUCGCUUCAAUUUUUAUUUUAUUUUAAUAUUUGGUAUUGUUCUGAAAAAGGCAGUGAUGAUGAAAAUUAUACCAUCAAACUAUGAAAGCUCUUGAGCUUGUUGAUGCUAAAUUCAUUAAUCUCUGAGCCUUCGUUGAAUUUUUGUUCCUUUUUUUUUGUUAAUUUUCUCGGUGUAUUUGUUUGUCAUCAAUUAAGGCAACAAAUUAGAGUCACUGAUGCACUACAUUUUUAAUGGUGUUUUCAGCGCUGUACGUUGCCGAUAACAAUUAGGUUCUGAGAUUCUGGCAUUUGCUUCUUUUAUUGAGCUUGUGCAUUCAGAUGUGCCCACAUUUUGGUAUUGAAGAUGAUGAAUUUGAGAUGGGGUGGAAUUUAAUUUAAAAUUUAAAAUGAUAUUCUGAAAUUGUUAUUAUUUUUUGGUAUUUCGAGAUUGAAAUAUGAAGCCAAAUGGUGAAAUUGGAAAAAAAAAAAUGCUUUGUUCUCUGUUCCGAUUUGAAUUAGCUAAAUAGUUAAGAGCUUAUUUAGGAA
rnacentral:lncRNA from 1 species